UACGUAGGGUCCGAGCGUUGUCCGGAAUUAUUGGGCGUAAAGGGCUCGUAGGCGGUUUGUCGCGUCGGGGAGUGAAAACCUACAGCUUAAACUGUGGGCUUGCUUUCGAUACGGGCAGACUUGAGGCAUGCAGGGGAGAACGGAAUUCCUGGUGUAGCGGUGAAAUGCGUAGAUAUCAUUUGGAACGCCAAUGGUGAAAACAGCUCGCUGGGGGGUUUGCUGGACGCUGAGACACGAAAGCCAGGGGGAGCAAAGCGGGG
rnacentral:rRNA from 1 species